UGGGGAAUAUUGCGCAAUGGACGAAAGUCUGACGCAGCGACGCCGCGUGUGGGAUGAAGCUUUUCGGAGUGUAAACCACUGUUGCCCGGGACGAAUCUCCUUUUUCGAAAGGAUUGACGGUACCGGGCGAGGAAGCACCGGCUAACUCUGUGCCAGCAGCCGCGGUAAUACAGAGGGUGCGAGCGUUGUCCGGAAUCACUGGGCGUAAAGGGCGCGUAGGUGGCAAGAUAAGCGUGUGGUGAAAGCCCGGGGCUCAACCCCGGGUCGUGCCGUGCGAACUGUCUUGCUCGAGCGUAGUAGAGGCAGGUGGAAUUUCGGGUGUAGCGGUGGAAUGCGUAGAGAUCCGAAAGAACACCGGUUGGCGAAGGCGGCCUGCUGGGCUACUGCUGACACUGAGGCGCGACAGCGUGGGGGAGCAAAACA
rnacentral:rRNA from 1 species